rnacentral:lncRNA from 1 species
UUUUUGUCUUUCUUCUGUUUCUCUAUCUUUGUUCUCUGUUUUUUAUAGGUGGUGGUGGCAAGGAGAGGUGCGGGUAACAACUGGAGGCGUGCCUGUCGAUGUGGAAGAGGCAACGAUGGUGAUUGUUUUAGGGUUCUAGGGUUUUUGAUUAAUUUUAGGUUUUGGGCUAUUAAGCUUUAUAGGUCUUGGGUUAGAUGGUUUAGGUUAGCAGAUUGGGUUUGUGUGGUUUAGGUUUGGGCUUGUAUUUUGUAAAUGGACUCAUCUUUUUUUAAUGAACUUUUAUUAAUUUUGGUUUUUUUUUUGUUGGUUGCUAAUUUGGUUUGUUUGGGCUGGAUAAAAAUGAGUCUUUAUAGCUGCCCCUCUUUGCUCAUUGUCAUGUAACAAGAAGGAAGCAAAGACUUUAAAGGAGGACCAAUUUUGUUCGGUAUUGUUGCAUCU